rnacentral:misc_RNA from 1 species
CUUAUCUUUCACACUCUCGGCUGACGGUAGUCUACACACCACUAUUCGCAUAGCGGGACGGAAACCGACGGAGCUGCCACAGAAACCUAUAAUCAUCUGCGAAAUGGCGAAGGGAAAGAGGGAAUUGCUAUCAAAAGCGCCAUGGAGAGGUGACGAUGACGACGAGGCCGAAAAAUUCAAAGACGCCAAGCUCAAGGUCACCAAUCAGCCCGGCUCCACCCCUAC